GGAGUACGCCGGGUGGCCGCGCCCUCGCAAGAGGGUGAGGAAAGUCCGGGCUUCAUUGGGCAGGGUGCAGGAUAACGUCCUGUCAGGGUGACCUGAAGGAAAGUGCCACAGAAACAUACCGCUGCGCGCUCGCGUGCAGCAAGGGUGAAAUCGUGAGGUAAGAGCUCACGGAGCCGCGCGGAGACGCGCGCUCGGGUAAACCCCACCCGAAGCAAGGUUGUUCGAGCCCCAACCGUGCGCUAACGCGCGCGCUGGGCGGGCGGCCCGCCCGAAACGAGCAAAAACCGCACCGAGGCCUGCGGCGACGCAGGCCCCAGAGAGAUGGCCAUCGGCUGGGCGCAGGCCCAGCUACAGAAUCCGGCUUACAGGCGUACUCCACAG
rnacentral:RNase_P_RNA from 1 species